GACGAACGCGGCGGCCUGCUUAACACAUGCAAGUCGAACGAUGAAGCCUAGCUUGCUAGGUGGAUUAGUGGCGAACGGGUGAGUAAUACGUGAGUAACCUACCUUUAACUCUGGGAUAAGCCUGGGAAACUGGGUCUAAUACCGGAUACGACCAAUCUCCGCAUGGGGUGUUGGUGGAAAGCGUUAUGUAGUGGUUAUAGAUGGGCUCACGGCCUAUCAGCUUGUUGGUGAGGUAACGGCUCACCAAGGCGACGACGGGUAGCCGGCCUGAGAGGGUGACCGGCCACACUGGGACUGAGACACGGCCCAGACUCCUACGGGAGGCAGCAGUGGGGAAUAUUGCACAAUGGGCGCAAGCCUGAUGCAGCGACGCCGCGUGAGGGAUGACGGCCUUCGGGUUGUAAACCUCUGUUAGCAGGGAAGAAGAGAGAUUGACGGUACCUGCAGAGAAAGCGCCGGCUAACUACGUGCCAGCAGCCGCGGUAAUACGUAGGGCGCGAGCGUUGUCCGGAAUUAUUGGGCGUAAAGAGCUUGUAGGCGGUUUGUCGCGUCUGCUGUGAAAGACCGGAGCUUAACUCCGUGUAUUGCAGUGGGUACGGGCAGACUAGAGUGCAGUAGGGGAGACUGGAAUUCCUGGUGUAGCGGUGGAAUGCGCAGAUAUCAGGAGGAACACCGAUGGCGAAGGCAGGUCUCUGGGCUGUAACUGACGCUGAGAAGCGAAAGCAUGGGGAGCGAACAGG
rnacentral:rRNA from 1 species